rnacentral:sRNA from 1 species
UAUUUGCUGGAAAUUUAUUAGCGGGAAAUUUAUUUUGGAAUAUUUUAGGCGAAAAAUAUUAAUCUUUCAUUUUAUUAACCUAAAACAAUUUCCAAAUAGGAGUAAAAUGGUCAUUAAAAAAUUAAAGAGGAUAAAAAAUAAAAAGGGCUAAAAAAGGGUAGAGUUGAAAAUGGGCAUCAUGAAAAGGGCAUUAGAAAGAAUUUUUCUUUGUUUCAGGCCCUAAAAAUACCCAGAAAAUAGAAACGGGUAUUUUGUAUGUUAAUAGCGGGUACCCAAAUAAAAAA